UACGUAGGGGGCAAGCGUUGUCCGGAAUCAUUGGGCGUAAAGCGCGUGUAGGCGGCUCGAUAAGUCUGCUGUGAAAGUCCAAGGCUCAACCUUGGGAUGCCGGUGGAUACUGUCGAGCUCGAGUCCGGAAGAGGAGUGUGGAAUUCCUGGUGUAGCGGUGAAAUGCGCAGAUAUCAGGAGGAACACCGAUGGCGAAGGCAGCUCGCUGGGACGGUACUGACGCUGAGGCGCGAAAGCGUGGGGAGCAAACAGG
rnacentral:rRNA from 1 species